GUCAGGGGUCCCUUUACCUUUAUGUAUACUAACAGUAACCUAGACUGGUAGCAAAUCGGCAAACAGUGCUGAUCUCUGAGCACGGGUGUUAUAUGCUGACGAGGCAAUUUCCUGUCAGCAAUCGUGCUGCAGCAUUCUGCACUAACUGCAGGUUCCAAAUCAAGACCCACACACAGCACAUUGCAGUAAUCCAGCCUUGAAGUAACCAAUUCAAGAACUACUGUGACAAGGCUUUCCUGGUCCAGUAAUAGCUGUCAAACCAGUCACAGCUGGUCAAAGGUACUUCUAGCCACAGAGACUACCUGAGCCUCCAGUGACAGCUGGAUCCAGAAGCAGCUCCUUCAGGAGGAGUGCAACCCCAUCCAGGGUAGGCAGCUGACCAGUUUUUGAGACAUGGGAACUCCUCACCCACAGUGUCUCCAUCUUGCCGGGAUGCAAGCUCCGCUUGUUUUUCUCAUCUAUUUCACCAGUGUGCCCAGCCAAAUGGCCCAGGGAUUGCACGGCCCCUCCUGAUUCAGAUGUUAUGGAGAAAUAGAGCUGAGUGUCAUCGGCAGACUGAUGGUACCUUGCCCUAAAACUCCUCAUGAUCAUCCCAAACAGCUUCAUAUAGAUAUUAUAUAGCACUGAAAAGAAAAUAGUCCCCUGCAGCAGUCCAUAACAUAGCUGCCAGAGGGUCGAAAGGCCCUCUCUCAGUGCUGCCUAAUUUCUUUGAUCAGCCAUGCAGGAUGACAUAUGUUCACUUGCUCCAGAUCAAGCACAUGCCUGAGACGUUCUACUAUUUCUGAAGCUAUUUCUGAAGCUUCGUGUCGCUAAUUGACUGAUACUGCGUUUCUACGGGAGAUCGAUGGAUCGUCCGGUGUUGGCGUGGGGGCAUGACGGACUUUGUCUCCCUGGCAGUAUCCCAACAACAGGUUAUAGGCCCAGAUUCACGGCACUUACAGGAGAGUAAGACUGCAAAAGACUGCGUUGAGGUAUGUGGGCUAAAGCGAGGCUUUUCUGUUGCCGCGGUAGCCUCUUUGAUGUCCGGCUGGCUUAAUUGGCCUGGGAGCCGCGCCAGAGGCUUCGUGAUUAAUGAGCUGCCCAGAUAAGAAGUUUUUGAAGGCAUAAAGGCUCACGGCUCAAAUAAAAGCCUGGAAUUUUUCCAAGCCUCUGAAGGUACUGAGUGCCCAAAAUUAAAUCGGCACAAUUAUGAGGCCUGGGCUGUGUGGUGAGAGUUUACUACAACAGUUUGGAGUGUGGCAUACUGUGUGUGAAGCCCCUCCAGUUCCUCUGACAGGUAGAUGGAGGGCCCAAGAUUCACGGGCCAUAGACGUAAUUGUCUUGUCUGUCUCUCUGGAGGAAAUUGGCACACUGGCUGGCAACACGACCGCACGUCAGAUGUGGAAUGCUUUGAAGGUUGCCCAUCUGCCAGUCAUCCCAGCCCAGAGUUUGACUGCAUCGGAGGUCCUGGCUGUUUCCCAGAUCGAGAGUGAUAGCAGGGAUGCUGAGGGCACCGGUUGCAAGCUGCAGGGGGAGCUGACUGUGAUGUCAUCCCAGGCAGCAUUCCAGCCUCCAGGGGGAGCCAAGGAGUCGGCAGCUGAGAGCUCUGUUUCCUGUGAGAACCAAGGUCAUCGUCUUUGCAGAGGCCGGAAGGCCAGAAGUAAACAGAGACAGAUGCCUGCAGAUGGCCAGGAGCAGGGGGGCAAGCAGCAAAAGCCCACGCCAGUGGAAAACAAGGCUAUGUUUGCUGGCAAUGCUUCACCAAAGGCCAAAGGCAAGUUUGAUGGCCAGGAGCAGGGGGGCAAGCAGCAAAAGCCCACGCCGGUGGAAAACAAGGUUUUGCUUGCUGGAAAAGCUGCUUCAAAGGCCAAGGCCAGAUUUGUUAUUGACUCUGGAGCGACCCGCCAUCUGGCAAAGGAUCGGCACCUUUUUAUCUCCUUCACACCUCAAGAUGGAGAGAUCUACCAGGCUGAUGGAAAGAC
rnacentral:lncRNA from 1 species